rfam:Chloroflexi bacterium OLB14 TZ14_CFX002CONTIG000002, whole genome shotgun sequence.
UCAUCUGAUUCAAAACUUGUGGAUACGCAAGCAGGUCUUGAAAGUGGCGUGACUGCUAUGAUUGGUGCGUUGAGUGGUAUCAACAUGAUUUCUGGUUCAG